CUGGUCUCGAGCUCCCGACCUCAGGUGAUCCGCCCGCCUUGGCAUCCCAAAGUGUUGGGAUUAUAGGCGUGAGCCCCAAGCCCAGCCUAAAAAAUGUUUUUCGUAUUAUAUUCCAGGUAAUCCCAGACUUCUAUGGGGUAAAUCUGGGGAUUUCUUGAAAGAAAGUGCAUUCGUGGAGGGUCUGUCCACUUGGCUCACUCCAACACAGUUUGAAUUUGGAAUUCUGCUCUUCUUCAUGAAGCACAGUCUCAAAAGCCCACAUCUACAGUCUGAGUUCUGAACUCUCAGCAGGCCUGGCAGACCAGGUCCCUACACAUAUUCACAUUUGGAAAUCAUUCUCAGUCACAGUGCAUCAAGUCCAGAUCACGAUGGUGAGCUUUGCUCUCAUAGUCUGUGGCAUAUGUCUCUCCUGGGAUCCAUGCAGCCGACCACUGAACAACGAUGAAGGGGGCUUUCGUGGGAAAGUUCUCCUCACCAUGCCUUUCCACAGGCGACACAGGGUCACAUCUCAAUACAAUUUCCAUCCUAUUCGAUGAUACACUAUUAUCCAUUCAAGAAUAUUAGCUCCAGAUUCAGAACUUUCUCACGAGCUGGUUCCAAGCCCUUUGGAGCUGAAGGCAACGUCGGGAGUUGGCAUCACUCCCAAGGAACAUUUGGCCUGCCCUACUCGGUAGGGUGCUUGAGACAUGUGGAGAGAAUGGGAAGAGGAGGAAGUGCUGGGAAGGGGAUGGAUAAGUGAUCAUGCACUAGCUUCUUGCUCUGUCGUGCAUAUAUUUUCAGUGUAACAACAUGUAUUUCAACACAUAAGGGCUUGUGCUUUUUCAUUAAAGAAAUAACUCGCCCUGAAAA